UCUUAGACAAUGGGCGCAAGCCUGAUCUAGCCAUGCCGCGUGAGCGAUGAAGGCCUUAGGGUUGUAAAGCUCUUUCAGGGGGGAAGAUAAUGACUGUACCCCCAGAAGAAGCCCCGGCUAACUCCGUGCCAGCAGCCGCGGUAAUACGGAGGGGGCUAGCGUUGUUCGGAAUUACUGGGCGUAAAGCGCACGUAGGCGGACGGAGAAGUCAGAGGUGAAAUCCCAGGGCUCAACCUUGGAACUGCCUUUGAAACUUUCUGUCUUGAGGUCGAGAGAGGUGAGUGGAAUUCCGAGUGUAGAGGUGAAAUUCGUAGAUAUUCGGAGGAACACCAGUGGCGAAGGCGGCUCACGGCUCGAUACUGACGCUGAGGUGCGAAA
rnacentral:rRNA from 1 species